UCUUUAAUUACUGCAGUUGCACAACCAAGGAAUAUCCUGAGUUUGUUUGGUUGACAUUUCGGGUACCCAGUCAGCUCUCAAAUGCAGUGGAAUUUCCAUCAUGUGGAAGUCCUACAAUCUAGCUCAUUUCAGAACAGAAUAUAAGAAGUGUCAGAUCAGUAGGGUCCUCACUGAAAGAUUUUGCAAGAUCUACUAAGACUCAUUAUCAUCUCUGCAGGAACUUCAGACAUCUAAAACCAUGAAGUUGCUGAUAGCAGGAAUAGUUCUGAUUCUAAUAGUGGAAUCCUACGCCCAGUGGUACAAGUUUCCUGUCGAAGCUGCCCAAGGAGCUCAUGACAUGUGGCGAGCAUACAGAGACAUGAAGGGCGCCAACUGGAAAAACUCUGACAAGUACUUUCAUGCUAGAGGGAACCAUGAUGCUGCCAAGAGAGGAGCUGGAGGCAGAUGGGCUGCUGAAGUUAUAAGUGAUGCCAGAGAAUGGGCACAGGAACGAACGGGUCAUGGUAAUGAGGACGCUGAGGCUGAUCAGAGGGCAAACCGUCAUGGGCGGAAUGGAGGAGAUCCCAACGUUUACAGGCCAAAAGGACUGCCUAAGAAAUAUUGAGGAUGAAAACUGAGAGAAAAAAUGCACAUUUGUGAAGGAUAGAUGUUCAAUGUUCAAUUUAUGGGCUAAGUCUUUUUAUCUACAGGGCCUCACUCUGGCUUGCAGGACCUGACUAUGGCCUCUAAGGUCUCAUAAAAGAGAUGUUGUAGGUUCACGGCGCCAGGUUGGGAGAUAAGGUUGUAACUUUGGAUGGGUAACAACAGCUGCCUGCGUUAUUUUCCAGUUAGAGUUCAUUCUGACACCUAGUGUCGUUGUUCCUCCCCUCCCUGAUGGCGUGACCUGAGCAACUCUAUAAGAAGUGAUUGUUUUCCUGCUUGUGCUAAGUUUUUGGUAUGACUAUAUCCAUGUGUACACUGUGCCAAAGGCUUCUCUGAGCUCAGAUAUUUGUUUUCAAUAAACUCCAUAUAUUCAAGUAAGCAUA